AGGGUGAAAAGAACAAAGUUUUGUCCAUCUUUGUUCAUCAUAGCCUAAAGUUAGAGAAGAGAAAGAAGAGGAGAAAGCUCUUGAAUGUUCGGUCACUUGGGAAAGAAAAUUGAAGGAAAUCCCCAACCAUAGUGGGCUUGGAGCUGUGAGGGAAUUCGGAGUGGCCACCCGUUCUGAAAGUUUGGUUUUCUUCUGGUGAACUGGACAUCCUAUUAUUUACGUUUGAAGUUUUGGGUUUUUAAAUGUAAUAAGGCCGCUUAAUUAUUUUUGAUGGUUUUAAUAUGUAUUACUAAGAUAGGUAUUACUUAUUUUAACUGUUGAAAUUGGAUAGCUUUAGGGCGCGUUUUCAAAAAUAACAAUUGAUUUCAAAAUAA